rnacentral:rRNA from 1 species
UACGUAGGGGGCAAGCGUUAUCCGGAUUUACUGGGUGUAAAGGUGGCGCAGACGGCGAUGCAAGCCAGGAGUGAAAGCCCGGGGCCCAACCCCGGGACUGCUCUUGGAACUGCGUGGCUGGAGUGCAGGAGGGGCAGGCGGAAUUCCUGGUGUAGCGGUGAAGUGCGUAGAUAUCAGGAGGAACACCGGUGGCGAAGGCGGCCUGCUGGACUGCAACUGACGUUGAGGCCCGAAAGCGUGGGGAGCAAACAGG